rnacentral:rRNA from 1 species
GACGAACGCUGGCGGCGUGCUUAACACAUGCAAGUCGAGCGGUGAUGCUCCAUAUUUCUGGCGUGGAUAAGUGCCGCACAGGUGUGUAUAACGUGAGCGACCUCCCCCUUUCUCUGGAGUAAACGCUGGAAACGGCGACUCAUACUGGAUAUGAAACCGGUCAGCAUGGGCUUUGUGUUGGAAAUUUGUCGGUUUGGCAUGGGCUCGCGGCCUAUCAGCUUGUUGGUGAGGUAAUGGGGCACCAAGGCGACGACGGGUAGCCGGCCUGAGAGGGCGACCGGCCACACUGGGACUGAGACAGGGCCCAGAGUGCUACGGGAGGCAGCAGUGGGGAAUAUUGCACAAUGGGCGGAAGCCUGGUGCAGCGACGCCGCGUGAGGGAUGACGGCCUUCGGGUUGUAAACCUCUUGCAGCAGGGAAGAAGCGAAAGUGACGGUACCUGCAGAAGAAGCAACGGCUAACUACGUG